AGUAUCCAGGUGGAGGAUUGACCAAAUGAAGAGUGACCAAAUAGGAGAGAGAAGUGCUGCUGUAAGUGGUCUGCUGUGAGGUCAGUCUGGAUCUGCAAUCAGAGCCUGCAGUCAGAGUCUGCAAGGGAAGCCUACAGUGGGAACUUGCUGGAGUUGGAAUCAGGAUGGCUGAGGUGUGAGGAAGAAUAGAUGGGGACCUUUUCACACUGAUGAACAAGAGUGUGUGUCUUGGCUCAUUUUUAUCUCUAACAUGAGUUCUGCUGCAACAGGUUUUCAAGAAGGAGAAAGAAGGAUGAGGAAAUUAUGUGCAUAAUCUUCUGGUCUUUCCACAAAAGUGACUGGUAAACAGACAGAAGAGGACUGCAGAGCUAUGAGCCUGUAUCAAGGAACUGAUGUUAUGUUCCAUAAAACCUUUGCCAGGAAGAAAGGAGGGUGGACAGGAAUUUUAACUUUUCUCUGAAUUCCCCCAUGCUACUGCCUCAUGCACAGAGCUUAUUGAUAUAUUCAUAGUAUAUCUUCAAAUUUUAUUGUAACUCCUAUGAAUGACAAACCUAGCCUCCUGGCCAGCUCAAAAAAUGAAAACAAAACAAAAACAAAUAAACAAAAAAACCCUAAACAAACAACAACAACAAAAAAAACACAAGAAAAAAACAAAAACCACAAAAAGACCCCAGCUAUCCACAGGCAGGAUGGAACAGCUCCCUGCUUGGUUCCCCAGUUCAAUAUGAAAAUUCCCCAUCAUGUGUGGGUGGCUUGACAAUGAUGUUCUCUUCUGAUGGCAUCUUCCUGCCAUUCACAGACUGAGUUAGGGCUCUGGAUGGUCUGAUAAAAUUCAUCAGGACCCUGUGUUAAGGUAUUUUUACUCCUAAAUAGGUUACAAAUGCCUCUGGGUUAUUUGUUAAUCACCCUGCAAGUCUAAGCCCUUGUUUCAUGGCCUUGUAUUUUCUGACAACUGUUGGUUUCUCUCCCAAAGCAUGUUGGGGAAGUCACUACACAGAGAAGAUUGUAUAGGGGAAAAAUAUUUUUUUCUUUUGCUUAUUAUUUUGCUUCCUUUUUAUUUUAUCAUUAUUAUUGAGAUUACUUCAGUGUAGCUAACAAAAUUGACAUACAUGCAGAUAUAUAUAGAAAGAAACACCUGAUAUUUCUCACAUGUAAAUCUGAAUACUCCCUACUACUGCCACAACUUUAUGCAAUGUCAUGUUCCUACUACCCAAUUAAAAACACACUUUUGUGUCAGAGGCUAGUUUCUGACAAAUUGGAAUAACUUGACCUGACAGAUUUUAAAACAUACAGAGAAUACUCUAUAAAAUACUCGAGCUAAGGAAUCACAGAAUCAUAGAAAGGCUUGGAUUGAAAGGGAUUUUAAACAUCAUCUAGUUCCAAAUCCCUUAACCUGGGCAGGGAUGCCAUCUGACCAGAAGGGGUUGCUCAAGGCCACACCCAGCCUGACCUUGAGCACUUCCAGAAGUAAAAUAUUUUUAUAGGGGACACUUCUGGACCUUUGGAAGUGACUUUAGCAAGUAAAAUUUCAAUCCUUGUACUCUACAAGGAACAGCAAAUAGUGCUUAACAUAGAUUUAGAUUAAUAUUUAUAUUUUUUACAAUCUCAUGGAAAAUUUGCAUUCCACUUAAACCCUUAGAAAGGUCAAUGUCAGAAGUAUUCAUGAAACCUGGAUCUUUAUUUCUACUAUUUAUUUUAAAUGUGUCAUUAAAGUUUAGAGACCUCAAUGUACCAAAAAUCAGACAUUUAACACAUUUACCUUCAAUAAUACAUAAUUCAUAUUAGUGACUUUUAUCUUGAGAAGGUGUUAUUUUUUAUUAUUUUAUUCGGUAAAUAUUGUGAAUAUUGUUGCAAAUUUUAAAUUUUGUGAACUUUAUUUCCUGUAACUCUGCUCAAGUGAUAACCAGCAGAGGCUGUCUAAUGGAUGUAUGUGGUCACUGACAGUGGAUUUGGGGAAGAUAGAUAACAACAGACUAGCCAAAGGCUAAUUAGAGCAAAACAUCCAGCUAACCACAGUGCUGAUCAAUGUCCAUCUCAAGUCAGUUGUGGAAGAAAGUAACAUCUGUAAUCAGUAUGCAAAUAUGAGUCAAUUACCUUUCUACAUCAGUAGUGGACAGCCCAGAGCCCAUUGAGCUCUCCAAUCAUCCACAGGCUGCAUGCCCGGUCUGCCCUUGAGUCAGGAUACUUCUGAAGGUGUGUCCUUGAGGCUGAGAAAUUCCUUGCAACAAGAGAUUCUUGGUGAUUAACAUGUUAAACUUUGAAAGCUAAGCAAGAAAAAGAAUUUAUUGUGCACAUAUACUUCUUUAGGCAGAAACCCUCGACUAAAUUUGGGUCCAGCUACACCUAAACUCCCUUCUGAGAAGCUUAAAAAGCAAAUUGUGUCCUUUCUAAAUCUCUUGAAUCAACAAAAAGUCCCCUUGACAACUUUAUCUGACUCUGUACUCUAUGCAGUAAAUAA